GACGAACGCUGGCGGCGUGCUUAACACACGCAAGUCGAAUGGUGAAGCGAGUGCUUGCACUCGUGGAUCAGUGGCGAACGGGUGAGUAACACGUGAGUAACCUGCCCAUCACUCUGGGAUAAGCACUGGAAACGGUGUCUAAUACUGGAUACGACCAACCCUUGCAUGGGGUGUUGGUGGAAAGAUUUAUCGGUGAUGGAUGGACUCGCGGCCUAUCAGCUUGUUGGCGGGGUAAUGGCCCACCAAGGCGACGACGGGUAGCCGGCCUGAGAGGGUGACCGGCCACACUGGGACUGAGACACGGCCCAGACUCCUACGGGAGGCAGCAGUGGGGAAUAUUGCACAAUGGGCGAAAGCCUGAUGCAGCGACGCCGCGUGAGGGAUGACGGCCUUCGGGUUGUAAACCUCUUUCAGCAGGGAAGAAGCGAAAGUGACGGUACCUGCAGAAGAAGCACCGGCUAACUACGUG
rnacentral:rRNA from 1 species